rnacentral:lncRNA from 1 species
UAAAAAAGAAAUAAAAAUUUAUUUCAACAUAAAUAAAGUAACAAGACAUCAUAAUAAACAUGCUUAUUAAAAUGAAUUAAAUGACGUACCACUUUUAAGUGUAAUGUGAUAUUGAUGAGGAGGAAGUUCACAAAAUGACAAUAAAUAAGGAGCAACACAUAUCUUUGUUCAAUGAAAUAGAAACAAGAAUGUGUCCCCAGUACACGGAUGCCACACUCGCACUAUCCUUUUCUAUGUUCAGUGGACCGUGAAAUUGGGGUCAGAACUCUAAUUUGACAUUAAAAUUAGAAAGAUCAUAUAAUAAGGAACAUAUAUACUAAGUUUCGAGUUGAUUGGACUUCAACUUCAUCAAAAACUACCUCGACCAAAAACUUUAACCUGAAGCGGGACGAACGUAUGAACGGACGGACGAACGAACGGAGCCACAGACCAGAAAACAUAAUGCCCCUCUACUAUCGUAGGUGGGGCAUAAAAAGCAGAAAAAUCAGCAUUCAUUGAUCUGAAACUAAUUGUGUGUGCAGAAAAAAUAGUAUAAAGAAGCUGGAUUUCAAAUUGUAAAAAACUGGAGAAUUAUUGUCUAAUAAAUUAAUUUAGCUUUUCAAUUUGAUAAAAUCUUAAGUUAUUUCAUUGUUCAUUAAGUCAGAAAAAAAUGAAAUUUGAAAAACAAUUAAUUCCUGGGGAACGUACUAUAAAAUAUACAAGAAAAUCCAACUCUUUAAUUUGACCUAAAAAUAUAUAUGCUAAUAGUUCAAAUUGUAUGUGGACUUUACAUAAAACAUAAUAACUAUCAUUUGAGGGACAAUUUCUUAUAAACAAGUCAACAUGUGUAAAACUUUCUACAAAAUUGAUACAGCUGUCAGAACACAAUACAGUAACUAUACAAUAAAAGUUAAUGUUAAAGAUUUCAAAACAAAGAUUUGUAUAAUAUUAUAAUAAUAAUUCACAUUCUAUACAAUUAAUUCACAAUUCUUUCUACUCUUCCAUUUCAACUACAUGAAUGAGCAUUUAUUUUUUGUUUCCUUUUUCUUUAAAGAACAUGCCUCUCAGUUCAUUAAAUAUUUUUAAAGUGUGUUUUCAUUUGAUUUGUCAGGAGUACAAAAAAACCUAGAUUUUCCUUUUUCUUAUAAAUCUUACAACAGGCAAAAAAUGAUUUACUGAUCAAUUUAAUUUGAGUCUCUGUUAUAGAGUUGGGCCAUGAGUGAUAAAACGUAUUUUCACAAUAUUUUCAAACAUUUAAUUACUUAAAAAAAUGUUAAAAAAAUUAUUUAUAUAUUUUUUCCCUCAUUUUUUUUGUUACUGCAGAAGAAUUGGUAAACAUUUAUUACUUUUGUUCAAUCUACAACCAAUUAUAAUAUUUCACUGAAACAACAAGAAUAUACAUGUGUUCAUGCUUGGCAUACUCUCACUUAUAAUUCAAAGUAUAAAACAAAACAAGAAGAUGGUGUCUGAGAGUUCUAAAAUUAGCAAACACAUGACAACUAUCACUGUUGAGCUGCCGACUAAAUAUGAAGGGAAUCUUGAAGUAAAGGAGAAAUUUAUGAUGAAAAUUUUAAGUUCAUUCAACAUUUGGAAAAAUUAUUAGCAAAAAGGAAGUAUAUUUCUGACAGAUCCAAAAAAGCUACAUUUUACAACUCAUCUCUUUAAAGCUGCCGACUCAAUAAUUUGUUACAUUAAUAGUAGUUUUA